UACGAAGGGGCUAGCGUUGCUCGGAAUCACUGGCGUAAGCGCACGUAGGCGGAUUGCUAAGUCAGGGGUGAAUCCUGGAGCUCAACUCCAGAACUGCCUUGAUACUGGCGAUCUCGAGUCCGGGAGAGGUGAGUGGAACUGCGAGUGUAGAGGUGAAAUUCGUAGAUAUUCGCAAGAACACCAGUGGCGAAGGCGGACUCACUGGCCCGGUACUGACGCUGAGGUGCGAAA
rnacentral:rRNA from 1 species